CAGCUAGCCAGCCAGUCAAUCAGUCAGCCAGUCAGCCAGUCAGCCAGCCAGUUAGUCAGUCACCCAGUCAGCCAGUCAGCCAGUCAGUCAGUCAGUCAGCCAGUCAGCCAGUCAGCCAGUCAGCCAGUCAGUCAGUCACCCAGUCAGCCAGUCAGUCAGCCAGUCAGCCAGUCAGUCAGUCAGUCAGUCAGCCAGUCAGUCAGCCAGUCAGCCAGUCAGUCAGCCAGUCAGCCAGUCAGCCAGUCAGCCAGUCAGCCAGUCAGCCAGUCAGUCAGUCAGCCAGUCAGCCAGUCAGUCAGCCAGCCAGUCAGCCAGUCAGCCAGUCAGUCAGCCAGUCAGUCAGUCAGCCAGUCAGCCAGUCAGCCAGUCAGUCAGCCAGUCAGCCAGUCAGCCAGUCAGUCAGCCAGUCAGUCAGUCAGCCAGUCAGCCAGUCAGCCAGUCAGUCAGUCAGCCAGUCAGCCAGCCAGUCAGUCAGCCAGUCAGUCAGCCAGUCAGCCAGUCAGUCAGUCAGCCAGUCAGCCAGUCAGUCAGCCAGUCAGUCAGUCAGCCAGUCAGUCAGUCAGCCAGUCAGCCAGUCUACACCAUCCUCUAGGUCCAUUAGAACAGAAUGUGUCCAGUCAGUUAGCGAUGAGGAAACGGACUGGAGAGGACGUUGGAUUUGAAGAGGAAGUUGUAAAUUAGGCUUAAUGCUUUUCUCUGUCUGUCUGCUCUCUGUCUGACUGCUCUGUGGUGGCUGAGGAUUAGUUAUACUGUCACUGGCAGAACACACACACACACACACACACACACACACACACACACACACACACACACACACACACACACACACACACACACCCUCCUCAAACAUCCUCCUCACACACCCUGUUGACACACUGUACAGACGAGCCCCUUUAACUUAUUAAAUUAUUGAUGAUUAUUGAUGAUGCUGUUUUAUUUAUUGAUGUAUUUAUUGAUAAGCUCCUCCUCCGCACGGUGGUCAUGUUGUUGUUUAUCCACCCCCCCCCCCCUCCUCCCAACAACAACAACAACAACAACAGUACUGGCCCCUCCUUACCACAGAACCAUCUCUAUUGCCUUUUCCACAGUCUCCUUAACAUGAGGAUGGAACCAUGAGGAUGGAACCAUGAGGGUAGAACCAUGAGAAUGGAACCAUGGGAAUGGAACCAUGAGGAUGGAACCAUGAGGAUGGAACCAUGGGAAUGGAACCAUGAGGAUGGAACCAUGAGGGUAGAACCAUGAGGAUGGAACCAUGGGAAUGGAACCAUGAGGAUGGAACCAUGAGGAUGGAACCAUGGGAAUGGAACCAUGAGGAUGGAACCAUGAGGGUAGAACCAUGAGAAUGGAACCAUGGGAAUGGAACCAUGAGAAUGGAACCAUGGGAAUGGAACCAUGAGGAUGGAACCAUGAGAGUAGAACCAUGAGAAUGGAACCAUGGGAAUGGAACCAUGAGAAUGGAACCAUGAGAAUGGAACCAUGAGAAUGGAACCAUGAGAAUGGAACCAUGGGAAUGGAACCAUGAGGAUGGAACCAUGAGGGUGGAACCAUGAGAAUGGAACCAUGGGAAUGGAACCAUGGGAAUGGAACCAUGAGAAUGGAACCAUGAGAAUGGAACCAUGGGAAUGGAACCAUGGGAAUGGAACCAUGGGAACGGAACCAUGAGAAUGGAACCAUGGGAACGGAACCAUGAGGAUGGAACCAUGAGGAUGGAACCAUGAGAAUGGAACCAUGAGAGUGGAACCAUGAGGAUGGAACCAUGAGGAUGGAACCAUGAGGGGGAAUGGAACCAUGGGAAUGGAACCAUGAGGAUGGAACCAUGAGGGUAGAACCAUGAGAAUGGAACCAUGGGAAUGGAACCAUGAGGAUGGAACCAUGAGGGUAGAACCAUGAGAAUGGAACCAUGGGAAUGGAACCAUGAGAAUGGAACCAUGAGAAUGGAACCAUGAGAAUGGAACCAUGAGAAUGGAACCAUGAGAAUGGAACCAUGGGAAUGGAACCAUGGGAAUGGAACCAUGAGAAUGGAACCAUGGGAACGGAACCAUGAGAAUGGAACCAUGGGAACGGAACCAUGAGGAUGGAACCAUGAGGAUGGAACCAUGAGAGUGGAACCAUGAGGAUUGAACCAUGAGAAUGGAACCAUGAGAGUGGAACCAUGAGGAUGGAACCAUGAGGGUGGAACCAUGAGAAUGGAACCAUGAGGAUGGAACCAUGAGAAUGGAACCAUGAGAGUGGAACCAUGAGGAUGGAACCAUGAGGGUGGAACCAUGAGAAUGGAACCAUGAGGAUGGAACCAUGAGGAUGGAACCAUGAGGAUGGAACCAUGAGGGUGGAACCAUGAGGAUGGAACCAUGAGAAUGGAACCAUGAGGAUGGAACCAUGAGGGUGGAACCAUGAGGAUGGAACCAUGAGGGUGGUACCAAGGGAAUGGAACCAUGAGGGUGGUACCAUGAGGAUGGAACCAUGAGGGUGGAACCAUGAGGGUAGAACAAUGAGGAUGGAUCCAUGAGGCAGCCUGAGGUUAGAUCUUCAACACUACUGACCAAACACCAUCACUCUGGCCCCAGCAUGUGUGUGUGUGUGUGUGUGUGUGUGUGUGUGUGUGUGUGUGUGUGUGUGUGUGUGUGUGUGUGUGUGUGUGUGUGUGUGUGUGUGUGUGUGUGUGUGUGUGUGUGUGUGUGUGUGUGUGUCUAAGAAACAACUUCCUGCUAUGAAAAAGGGUGAAAGGUCACAAACCCCGGUUUGGGCAGAAUGGAAGUGUUGGGUCCUUCCUGCUAUGAAAAAGGGUGAAAGGUCACAAACCACGGUUUGGGCAGAAUGGAAGUGUUGGGUCCUUCCUGCUAUGAAAAAGGGUGAAAGGUCACGAACCCCGGUUUGGGCAGAAUAGAAGUGUUGGUUCCUAUUAUUUACGUUACCAUGUGGGUCUGUGUUUUUUAUAACUACUAGAACCCGUGGAACCGUCUAGACUUGUUGUUUCCUUGUGGAACAGGAUUAUUGUUGUUAUUGUUGUUAUUGUUGUUGUUGUUGUUGUUAUUGUGCAUCUGAUAAUCUAUUACUCUAAAUGACGACGAGCAAUAAAGUUGAGAUCCUUUUUUAAAAAUAUAUAUAUUGCAUGUUUUACUAAAAAAAAAGGUUGAUCUUAGUCAAUAAAAAUAGUUUUUAAGACA